GAAAUCAGAAACCUUUCUUAUGCUUCAUUUGUGUUUUGGUUAUAUUAAAUUUGUUCUCUUUUUUUUUUUUUUCUUUUACAGCGAGUGGCUGGUUUCUAGAAAAAGUAGAAAUCACAGAUGCAUCUAAGAAUUCAGUGUAUUGCUUCAACUGUAACAGGUGGCUUGCUGAGGACGAAAGUGAUGGCCGCACUAUAGUGCAACUUUAUCCACAGCUGCUUGAUUUCUGAUUCUUUCUGAGCGUGUUGCUUCUCCAAAUUCACACGGAUUUGAUUUACUUGUAUUUUAUCAUUUUGAAGGUAUUGUAAUUACUGUGAAGGAACGUCAAAACAAUGCAUUAAAAACAUCACAGUAAAUUAAACACGUCUAAUGUGAACACAGCAUUCCGAUCCUAUUAGAGAUGCUCAAAAACGUCGCAUGACUGAAAUUUAGAAAACAAAAAUUUAAAUCUGUAACAUGGCUCUGUGAACUUGAUCUGAGCAUUCAUAAUGGUAGGCUUGUGCAGUAACAUACUCAAA
rnacentral:lncRNA from 1 species